rnacentral:SRP_RNA from 12 species
CUGCUGCGCUUCCUCAAGUCCAAUUGCAACCGCGAGGGCGGCACCUACAUCCUGCACCGCGAGCCCGAGCCCGCGGAGGGCGGCGAGGGCGGCGCCG